AUGGAAAGGCACUCGUCGCGGCUUGUUAGAGUGCUUGCGGUGGUUCCGAUAUUCUUGGUUUCACUUUUCUUCUUCAUCUCUAUUUUCCUACAAGUCACACACGAGCAGAGGGCACUGUGUUGCAUUGUUGUUGAUAGUUCCGUCGGUUUUUUCGGCGAUGUUCUCGCGGCAAAAGCUUCCUUAUGA